rnacentral:rRNA from 1 species
CUUAAUAGGCUUUCCUUGUUAGUUUCCAGGGCUAUGUUUUCAUAUACACCUUAAGAAUGUAACAGAAUGUCAUUAUUAGGCUUAAUUGCCUUAUAAACUAUAUACAACUUUCAGCAACGGAUCUCUUGGCUCUCGCAUCGAUGAAGAACGCAGCGAAAUGCGAUAA